CACCUCUUAGGGUCACACCUGCAGAGUUUCCAGUACUCUACCAGUUUCAACUAUGGGAGGGUCAAGCAGGGGCCUACCCAUUCCAUUCCUAGCUUGGGCAGUGGCUAGCGAGUGGAAGGCAAUCUGCUACAAGU